rnacentral:rRNA from 1 species
AUUGAACGCUGGCGGCAGGCCUAACACAUGCAAGUCGAACGAAUGGCGGACGGGUGAGUAAUGUCUGGGAAACUGCCUGAUGGAGGGGGAUAACUACUGGAAACGGUAGCUAAUACCGCAUACCAUCGGAUGUGCACAGAUGGGAUUAGCUAGUAGGUGGGGUAAAGGCUCACCUAGGCGACGAUCCCUAGCUGGUCUGAGAGGAUGACCCGCCACCCUGGACCUUAGACACGGUCCAGCCUCCUACGGGAGGCAGGAUUGGGGAAUAUUGCCAAAUGGGCGCAAGCCUGCUGCAGCCAUGCCGCGUGUAUGAAGAAGGCCUUCGGGUUGUAAAGUACUUUCAGCGGGGAGGCGUUACCCGCAGAAGAAGCACCUGCUAACUCCGUGCCAGCCGCCGCGGUAAUAC